rnacentral:lncRNA from 1 species
CAUAGAAGAAAUUAUCUGCUAAGGACUAUUAAAUGCAAAGACACAACAUCUGGGUCAGAAAUUCCUUGAUGACAAUUUGCAGACAUUGGGGAAAUACCAGCACACAUUGACCUAUUUCUCUUUUCUAGGAAUCCACUUGUCAUGGAUGGCACAGUGAGCAAUAGGAAAUUUGGGUCCCACCUGGAAAAGCUGUUGCCAUAUGAAAAGAAGUGGACUUGUGCAGGAAUCUAGCUGUGAGAAAGAGAAGUUCAAUGUGGAACAGAAAAAGCUAACAGAGGACGGUGAUGAGAAAUGCACUUCAGGAGGACAAGGAACUUUUUUCUCUGAAUGUAGAUUGACAAAGGUCAAACAGCCUUGACUACACGUUACACGGACUUUCUUUUCCAUCACUGAAUGGCAACAUAUCUCAGACUAAGGCCUUCUGGAAAAACAACCGUAAAAACAUACACUGAGUCUGCUUAUUGAUUGAUUCUGCUAAAUUUUGCUGUUGUUUUAAGGUUUUUGAAGUGCAUUACAUGCUCCCUUCCAAAGACUGUCAUUCACAAAGAAUCUGACAGCUCUUCAAUGCAAAAGCUGAAGAAACUUGUGAGGUUAUGUAUAGAAGUCUCCAGGUUCCAUGCUUCAUGACAUGUAAAAUGAAGAGUAUUGCUCUUUGCUUCAGCGCUCUGGACAGCAAAAUUUUCUUACAAAUAUAUUGGAGAAUGAAAUGUUACUAUAGAUAGGAAAGGCACUCUGGAGGCCUCUAGUUCCACCUUCUGCUCAAAGGACUAAUUUCUAAGUUACAUCAGGUUGCUUAGGGUCUUGUCCUGAUGAGUUGAAUAUCUCUAAGGAUGUAGAUUCUACAGCCUCACUGGGUAUAACCUGUUCCAGUGCUUCGUCAUUCUCAUUGUGAAAAAUGUUUCCUCGCAAAAAGCUGAAAUUUGCUUCACAACUCCAUCGCUUCCCGUCUUUUUGCUGUGCACCUUCAAAAAGAAUCUGUCUCCAUCAUUUCUAUAAGCACCCAUUAGGUAGUUAACGCAGUCUUCAACUUUAAUAAAGGCAACAAUGAAACACUGGAUGCA